rnacentral:rRNA from 1 species
UUGAACGCUGGCGGCGGCCUAACACAUGCAAGUCGAACGGAGUGGCGAACGGGUGAGUAACGCGUGAGCAACCUGCCUAUGACAGUGGGAUAGCCUCGGGAAACCGGGAUUAAUACCGCAUAGUCAUAGAUGGGCUCGCGUCUGAUUAGCUAGUUGGUGAGAUAACAGCCCACCAAGGCGACGAUCAGUAGCCGGUCUGAGAGGAUGAACAGCCACAUUGGAACUGGGACACGGUCCAAACUCCUACGGGAGGAAGCAAUGGGGAAUAUUGCACAAUGGAGGAAACCCUGAUGCAGCGACGCCGGGUGAACGAAGAAGGUAUUCGUAUCGUAAAGUUCUGUCCUAUGGGAAGCAGUACCAUAGAAGAAAGCUCCGGCUAAAUACGUGCCAGCAGCCGCGGUAAUAC